AGCGAACGCUGGCGGCAGGCUUAACACAUGCAAGUCGAGCGGAGAUGAGGUGCUUGCACCUUAUCUUAGCGGCGGACGGGUGAGUAAUGCUUAGGAAUCUGCCUAUUAGUGGGGGACAACAUUCCGAAAGGAAUGCUAAUACCGCAUACGUCCUACGGGAGAAAGCAGGAGAUCUUCGGACCUUGCGCUAAUAGAUGAGCCUAAGUCGGAUUAGCUAGUUGGUGGGGUAAAGGCCUACCAAGGCGACGAUCUGUAGCGGGUCUGAGAGGAUGAUCCGCCACACUGGGACUGAGACACGGCCCAGACUCCUACGGGAGGCAGCAGUGGGGAAUAUUGGACAAUGGGGGGAACCCUGAUCCAGCCAUGCCGCGUGUGUGAAGAAGGCCUUAUGGUUGUAAAGCACUUUAAGCGAGGAGGAGGCUACUGAGACUAAUACUCUUGGAUAGUGGACGUUACUCGCAGAAUAAGCACCGGCUAACUCUGUGCCAGCCGCCGCCGUAAGAC
rnacentral:rRNA from 1 species